rnacentral:rRNA from 1 species
AACUAUAACGGUCCUAAGGUAGCGAAAUUCCUUGUCAGGUAAGUUCUGACCCGCACGAAAGGCGUAACGAUUUGGGCGCUGUCUCAGCUGUAGACUCGGUGAAGUCUUAGUACCUGUGAAGAUGCAGGUUACCCGCGACUAGACGGAAAGACCCCAUGGAGCUUCACUGCAGGUUGAUAUUGGGAUUUGAUGCAGCAUGUACAGGAUAGGUAGGAGGCAAAGAGAUGGAUACGCCAGUAUUCAAGGAGCCGCUGUUGGGAUACUACCCCUGUUGUAUUGGAUUUCUAACCGGACGACGUAGAGCCGUUGACGGGACAGUGUCAGUCGGGCAGUUUGACUGGGGCGGUCGCCUCCCAAAGAGUAACGGAGGCGCCCAAAGAUACCCUCAGCUUGGAUGGAAACCAAGCGCAGAGUGCAAAGGCAAAAGGGUGUUUGACUGCGAGACCUACAAGUCGAGCAGGGACGAAAGUCGGGCUUAGUGAUCCGGCGGUGCUGAAUGGAAAGGCCGUCGCUCAACGGAUAAAAGCUACCCUGGGGAUAACAGGCUGAUCUCCCCCAAGAGUUCACAUCGACGGGGAGGUUUGGCACCUCGAUGUCGGCUCAUCGCAUCCUGGAGCUGAAGUCGGUUCCAAGGGUUGGGCUGUUCGCCCAUUAAAGCGGUACGCGAGCUGGGUUCAGAACGUCGUGAGACAGUUCGGUCCCUAUCUGUCGUGGGCGCAGGAAAUUUGAGAAGAGCUGUCCUCAGUACGAGAGGACCGGGAUGGACGCAUCAAUGGUGGACCAGUUGUCACGCCAGUGGCAUAGCUGGGUAGCUAAAUGCGGAAGGGAUAAACGCUGAAGGCAUCUAAGUGUGAAACCCACUUCAAGAUGAGAUUUCCCAUUGCGCAAGCAAGUAAGACCCCUUAAAGACGAUAAGGUAGAUAGGUCAGGAGUGUAAGCAUGGUGACAUGUUAAGCGGACUGAUACUAAUAGGUCGAGGGCUUGACCGA